GACGAACGCUGGCGGCGUGCCUAAUACAUGCAAGUAGAACGCUGAAGAGAGGAGCUUGCUCUUCUUGGAUGAGUUGCGAACGGGUGAGUAACGCGUAGGUAACCUGCCUUGUAGCGGGGGAUAACUAUUGGAAACGAUAGCUAAUACCGCAUAACAAUGGAUGACACAUGUCAUUUAUUUGAAAGGGGCAAUUGCUCCACUACAAGAUGGACCUGCGUUGUAUUAGCUAGUAGGUGAGGUAACGGCUCACCUAGGCGACGAUACAUAGCCGACCUGAGAGGGUGAUCGGCCACACUGGGACUGAGACACGGCCCAGACUCCUACGGGAGGCAGCAGUAGGGAAUCUUCGGCAAUGGGGGCAACCCUGACCGAGCAACGCCGCGUGAGUGAAGAAGGUUUUCGGAUCGUAAAGCUCUGUUGUAAGUCAAGAACGAGUGUGAGAGUGGAAAGUUCACACUGUGACGGUAGCUUACCAGAAAGGGACGGCUAACUACGUGCCAGCAGCCGCGGUAAUACGUAGGUCCCGAGCGUUGUCCGGAUUUAUUGGGCGUAAAGCGAGCGCAGGCGGUUUGAUAAGUCUGAAGUUAAAGGCUGUGGCUCAACCAUAGUUCGCUUUGGAAACUGUCAAACUUGAGUGCAGAAGGGGAGAGUGGAAUUCCAUGUGUAGCGGUGAAAUGCGUAGAUAUAUGGAGGAACACCGGUGGCGAAAGCGGCUCUCUGGUCUGUAACUGACGCUGAGGCUCGAAAGCGUGGGGAGCGAACAGGAUUAGAUACCCUGGUAGUCCACGCCGUAAACGAUGAGUGCUAGGUGUUGGAUCCUUUCCGGGAUUCAGUGCCGCAGCUAACGCAUUAAGCACUCCGCCUGGGGAGUACGACCGCAAGGUUGAAACUCAAAGGAAUUGACGGGGGCCCGCACAAGCGGUGGAGCAUGUGGUUUAAUUCGAAGCAACGCGAAGAACCUUACCAGGUCUUGACAUCCCGAUGCUAUUUCUAGAGAUAGAAAGUUACUUCGGUACAUCGGUGACAGGUGGUGCAUGGUUGUCGUCAGCUCGUGUCGUGAGAUGUUGGGUUAAGUCCCGCAACGAGCGCAACCCCUAUUGUUAGUUGCCAUCAUUCAGUUGGGCACUCUAGCGAGACUGCCGGUAAUAAACCGGAGGAAGGUGGGGAUGACGUCAAAUCAUCAUGCCCCUUAUGACCUGGGCUACACACGUGCUACAAUGGUUGGUACAACGAGUUGCGAGUCGGUGACGGCAAGCUAAUCUCUUAAAGCCAAUCUCAGUUCGGACUGUAGGCUGCAACUCGCCUACAUGAAGUCGGAAUCGCUAGUAAUCGCGGAUCAGCACGCCGCGGUGAAUACGUUCCCGGGCCU
rnacentral:rRNA from 1 species